ensembl:lncRNA
GUGAUGGGCGCGUGGGGUAUCAUGGGAACCUUCCUGUUAUUUUGAAGGGUUUCUAUAGUAACGGAUCAAUUCUCAUGUCGCAUCGCGGUAAGGAGGCUACAGGGAGAUUUCUUAUUAACCAGGCUGGUCCCACCCUGGCUCCCGCCCGCUUUUAGAUAACAGCCUACUAUAGGUUUGAAAAAGAAGAAGUCGAAUUCGGUGGAAGAGUUGCGUCUCGGAGAGGAGCAUCUCCUGGGAGGUUUGCAUUUACCCACCAGAGGGAGGCGCUCUCUACCCAUGUCACCACGUCUGCCUCAGAGUCCUGUGCACGCCCCCGUCACUGCUUCGUCAUUGACAAUGUGACAGAGAUGAGGUGGGAAGUGUAGUGGCCAUAUACCUCAGUAGAGUCGGAGGGGAUGGACUAUAGGGAGAGUGUCAGCAGCCGCAGGCAGAGAGAUGAAACAGUGAGGGGGCUGGAGGAGAAGGUCAGGCAGCUCCAGAGAGAGCUGGGGGAGGCCCAGACUGAUGCCAGGGCCCACAGGGAGCAGCUCUCCAGCCUCAAGGAGCUGAUCAAGGCGGCCUGGCAGGGGGAGUGUGUGGCUGUUGCUGAAGUCAGCAGGAUUGUGGGUGUCGCUUCGCCUCUCAUCACAGUGUCGGAUGGUGAGAGAGGUCAGUCACACCUGAGCAUUCAGGGCUGCAGAGAUGAGGCUGCUGCUGUGAAGGAGGAGCAAGCUGUCAUCAGUCACACAGGUCCCAUCCUACCUGAGAAGCACCAGAGCACCCAGGAGAUUCCCUUCUCUAAACAGAAGAACUUCCCAGACCAGAAGAACUUCCCAGACCAGAAGAACUACCCAAGAGACAGGAAGGACGACUCCACAGGCAGAAAGAACUACCCUCAAAACAGGAAGAACUCCACACAGGACAGGACGGAUGACUUCACAGACAGGAAGAACUAUCCACAAGCCAGGAAGUACUCCCCAGAUAGGAAGAAUGACCCCACUAUCCCCAGACCCCCACAAUGUUUAUAUAAAAAGUCUAAAGCUCAGACUUGGACCAAGGAUUGCAGUGGGAUGAUUAGUAUUGAGAGAGGCAUUGUGGGAAUGUGGAGGACUCCAUCCUGCCCUCAAGCAGGUGGAGUCAGGCCUGGAUACCUGUGUGAUGAUCACCUGGACAGGAAGAGAGCGGUCUUUCACAGGGAGAUUAUGACCCCAGACGACAUGCGCUUCUGAGUUCUCACAUGGGGAAACCACAGUGACAACCAAACAAGGACUCUCAACUCUAUGUUGAUUUAAAGAUGACUUAAAUAUUUCUGGCGAGCCCAAAUCAAAUUAUGAAAAUGCAGAUUCACUGAGAGCUGCUGUAUCUACCCAAAAUUGUUUGUGAAAGUGGUCAAUCAAUAUAGAAAUGUAUGAUAGAAUGUUGUCAAUAGCAAUCUUUUACUGGAAGAAACGGAUUUAAUGAAAAUAUAGUUAGAGCCAAAAUGGUUUAUGGUGAUAGCUAGAGACAAAACUGUUCUUUAUUAAAACAAUCUUUAUUAAGUUACUCUUUAUUGAGUAGCUUACUGAGAGAUGAUUACCUCCAAGAGACCUCUGUGAUUUCCUAUUAGUCAUCAGUUCUGUACCAUAGAUGUCAUAGAUGGUAAGGACCAAAAUGUUAGCUAAUAAAAUGCACCUCUACAAGCCU